CAUUUCAUUCCAUUCGUUAAACACACAACUGAACUUGCAAUCAACUUAUUCCAUUCUUAUUCAGACGCCACCCAUUCUUGGUGCCACACAACUCAACUUGCAAUCAGUACACACAUACUUAAUAUUCAUCUAAUCCAGUUCAUAUACCAAAUUUUCUAUUAACCUACUCGUUCAAUUCUUCUAGCAACCUAACUCAUACAUAACAUUCAUCAGUCAUCACAAAAAGUCAUAGUGAUCAAUCAUUCAAUCAAUCAGUCAUUCAUAUCAAUCACCCAAUUCACAUC
rnacentral:lncRNA from 1 species